rnacentral:tRNA from 1 species
GGAGGAAUGGCCGAGCGGUCGAAGGCGGCGAUUUUGAAAAUCGUAGUUCCGCAUACCGGAACCGUGGGUUCGAAUCCCUCUUCCUCCG